rnacentral:tRNA from 1 species
GGCUCCGUAGCUCAGCUGGAUAGAGCGUUUGACUUCGAAUCAAUAGGUCGGGGGUUCGAAUCCCUCCGGGGUCA